UCCUAGCCCCGAUGGGAGGGAAAAUCCUUUUGUGCCGGGGUUCGGCACAAAAGAUUGGAAGGAACAGCGGGAUUAGCU
rnacentral:sRNA from 1 species